UACGUAGGGUGCAAGCGUUAAUCGGAAUUACUGGGCGUAAAGCGCACGUAGGCGGACAUUUAAGUUGGAGGUGAAAGCCUUGGGCUCAACCCAAGAAUUGCCUUUGAUACUGGAUGUCUCGAGACCGGGAGAGGUGAGUGGAAUUCCGAGUGUAGAGGUGAAAUUCGUAGAUAUUCGGAAGAACACCAGUGGCGAAGGCGGCUCACUGGCCCGGUUCUGACGCUGAGGUGCGAAAGCGUGGGGAGCAAACAGG
rnacentral:rRNA from 1 species